rnacentral:rRNA from 1 species
AUUGAACGCUGGCGGCAGGCCUAACACAUGCAAGUCGAACGGAGUGGCGGACGGGUGAGUAAUGUCUGGGAAACUGCCUGGUAGUGGGGGAUAACGUCCGGAAACGGGCGCUAAUACCGCAUACUAUCAGAUGAGCCUAGGUCGGAUUAGCUAGUUGGUGGGGUAAAGGCCUACCAAGGCGACGAUCCGUAACUGGUCUGAGAGGAGGAUCGGUCACACUGGAACGGAGACACGGUCAAGACUCCUGCGGGAGGCAGCAGUGGGGAAUAUGGGACAAUGGGCGAAAGCCUGAUCCAGCCAGGCCGCGGGUGUGAAGAAGGUCUUCGGUUUGUAAAGCACUUUAAGUGGGGAGGCGUUACCGACAGAAGAAGCACCGGCUAACUACGUGCCAGCCGCCGCGGUAAUAC